UCUCUCACUUGAUCUUCAAACCACCAUAACUUUUGAUCUAGAGCUCCGAUUGCCGCUCCGUUUGCGGCCACGCGUUCACCGCGGAGAGCUCUACAAAACCCAUACAACCAAUCUUGAGGACCCAACUCUCUUGAAGGAGAAGGUUAAUCUUGUCUCCUUGGACCUUGGGUGUGGUUGUGUAUAUGUGAAUAUUGGAGCUUGAUUUGGUGAUUUUGAAAAGCUUGGAAAGGGUUUGGUGGUGAAAAAUCUGUUCUUGGAGGUGUUGAGGCCUUGAGAGCUUGUAGAUAAGUGAUUUGGAAGUGCUCCGGUGGAGCUUGGGAAAAUCG